AUUGGAUGCGGGGGAGUCACAUCCUACCAAAUUCAGACGAACUCCGAAUGCGGUUAUAUAUACACAGCAGUGAGGGUUUGGGUGCUAAGGUCCAAAUCCGAGAGGGAAAGAACCCAGAGCUACAGCUAAGGUCUCCAAAUCUAUACUAAGUUGAACAAAGGAAGUCUGACUGCCGAGACAGCCAGGAUGUUUGCUUGGAAGCAGCAAUCAUUUAAAGAGUGCGUAACAGCUCACUGGUCGAGCGGGGCGGGCAUCGAUAAUAAGCGGGCAUAAAGUAUAGUACCGAAGCUUAGCAUUGUAGUAGUGAUACUACACUGGUAGGGGAGCAUUCUUAAUGCGGCGAAGGCGAUUUUUGAGAAUUGUUGGAGCGUUAAGAAAAGCAAAUGUAGGAAUAAGUAGCGAUAAUGAAUGUGAGAACCAUUCACACCGAAAGACUAAGGAUUCCUCCGCUAUGUCAAUCAACGGAGGGUAAGUCGGAUCCUAAGGAUAAUGCGAGAGCAGAGGCCGAUGGGAAGCAGGUUAAAAUUCCUGCACCGGUGCAUAUUACGAAGCGGGGACGGAUUUUAGAGCUUAAUACGAACCGACGGAAAUGUUCGUUGAGAGGAGUCUUCGGACGAAUCGAAUUAGGGGAUAAGAUUCCAAGAAAAGCCGAUAAGUUAUGGAUAUGUACUGACCGUACCGUAAACCGACACAGGUAGUCGAGGCGAGAAGCCUAAGGUGCUCGAGUGAAUCACGGCUAAGGAACUAGGCAAAUUAACCCUGUAACUUCGGGAUAAAGGGAGCCUCAGCGAUGAGGCCGCAGAGAAAUGGCCCAGGCGACUGUUUAACAAAAACACAUGGCUAUGCGAAGAUUAAUGUCGACGUAUAUGGNCUGACACCUGCCCGGUGCCGGAAGGUUAAGAGGGGGCGUUAUCGCAAGAGAAGCGCUGAAUUGAAGCCCCGGUAAACGGCGGCCGUAACUAUAACGGUCCUAAGGUAGCGAAAUUCCUUGUCGGGUAAGUUCCGACCUGCACGAAUGGUGUAACGAUCUGGGCACUGUCUCGGCCACGAGCUCGGUGAAAUUGAAGUAUCGGUGAAGAUACCGAUUACCCGCAACGGGACGAAAAGACCCCGUGAACCUUUACUAUAGCUUCACAUUGAGCUUGGGUAUAAGAUGUGUAGGAUAGGUGGGAGACUGUGAAGUGGGGACGCUAGUCCUUGUGGAGUCGACGUUGAAAUACCACCCUUCUUAUACUUAGGUUCUAACUUCACGCAAAUGAAGGACAUUGUGUGGUGGGUAGUUUGACUGGGGUGGUCGCCUCCUAAAAAGUAACGGAGGCUCGCAAAGGUGCCCUCAGCACCGUUGGUAACGGUGCGUAGAGCGUAUUAGUACAAGGGCGCUUGACUGAGAGAUCGACGGAUCGAUCAGGAACGAAAGUUGGCUAAAGUGAUCCGGUGGUUCCGCAUGGAAGGGCCAUCGCUCAAAGGAUAAAAGGUACUCCGGGGAUAACAGGCUGAUCUCCCCCAAGAGCUCACAUCGACGGGGAGGUUUGGCACCUCGAUGUCGGCUCGUCACAUCCUGGGGCUGGAGAAGGUCCCAAGGGUUGGGCUGUUCGCCCAUUAAAGUGGCACGCGAGCUGGGUUCAGAACGUCGCAAGACAGUUCGGUCUCUAUCUGUUGUGGGCGUGGGAAUAUUGAGGAGAUCUGACUCCAGUACGAGAGGACCGGGUUGGACGUACCUCUAGUGUACCAGUUGUGCCGCCAGGUGCAGUGCUGGGUAGCUAUGUACGGAACGGAUAAGCGCUGAAAGCAUCUAAGCGCGAAGCCAACUCCAAGAUGAGUAUUCCAUUGAGGGUCGUGGAAGAUGACCACGUUGAUAGGCUACAGGUGUAAUUGCAGUGAUGUAUUUAGCUGAGUAGUACUAAUUACCCGAAAGCUUCCUUUU
rnacentral:rRNA from 1 species